GAUGAACGCUGACAGAAUGCUUAACACAUGCAAGUCAACUGUGGCGGACGGGUGAGUAACGCGUAAAGUACUUGCCUCGCGGUUAGGGACACCAUUUGGAAACGAAUGCUAAUACCUGAUACUGUGGGCGAGCUUUGCGUCCCAUUAGCUAGAUGGAGAGGUAACGGCUCACCAAGGUGAUGAUGGGUAGCCGGCCUGAGAGGGUGAUCGGCCAGAAGGGGACUGAGACACGGCGCUUACUCCCACGGGAGGCAGCAGUGGGGUAUAGUGAAGAAUGGACCCAAGUCUGAUGCAGCAAUUAUGUGUGCAGGAUGAAGUUUUCUGAAUGUAAAGUUCUUGCAGUUGCGAACCGGUACCAACAGAAGAAGUGACGGCUAAAUACGUGCCAGCCGCCGCGGUAAUAC
rnacentral:rRNA from 1 species